CUACAGGAUUCCCCUAGUAACGGCGAGUGAAGCGGGAUGAGCUCAAGCUUAAAAUCUCUGUCACAAAUUUAUUUUGUGCGGCGAAUUGUAGUCUAUAGAGGCGUGGUCAGUGUAGGCACUUGAGGUAAGUUCCUUGAAAGAGGACAGCAUGGAGGGUGAAACUCCCGUUCAUACUUGAGUUGCUUAUACGUACGACCCGUUUUCUUUGAGUCGCGUUGUUUGAGAAUGCAGCGCAAAGUAGGUGGUAAAUUCCAUCUAAAGCUAAAUAUUGGUGCGAGACCGAUAGCGAACAAGUACCGUGAGGGAAAGAUGAAAAGAACUCUGAAAAGAGAGUUAAAGAGUACCUGAAACUGCUGAAAGGGAACCGGAUCGUUUCUAGUGUCUAUAAUCCGUGACAUAUUUCAUUGGGGAGUGUGUGCGUGUGUAUACUAUGGCAGUGGCUUUUUGCUGCGCUUGGUGUGCGUGCUGUAUGCGCUUACUGAUGCCCUGUGUUGCGGUGGGACGUCAAGGUCGGUUUGUAUACUGCGGGAAAUGGCUACUGAGGAGGUAGGGCUUACGCUUGCGUUUGUCUAUUAUAUCUUGGUAGUUGUGUCGUGGUUGAGACUGAGGUGUUCUACAACGUGCUUUUGAGUGGGACUGUGUCUCCGUGUGCACCGUGUGCGGAUAGCUUGCUAUGUGUGUGUGGUUGUAUGUGGAUUGAUGCGGGCUUUAACUUGUAGCCGUUCGGGACGUUGACGAAAUAGAGCGAUUUGACCCGUCUUGAAACACGGACCAAGGAGUCUAACAUAUGCGCAAGUGUUAGGGUGUGGAAACCCCAGCGCGAAAUGAAAGUAAAGGAUAGUGAAAACUAUCUGAGGUAGGAAACGUUGCGGAUUUCGGUCUGUGGCGUGGCACUAUCGACCGAUCAUGAACCUUCGUGGUGAAAGAUUUGAGUUUGAGCACAUAUGUUGGUACCCGAAAGAUGGUGAACUAUGCCUGAGUAGGGUGAAGCCAGGGAAACUC
rnacentral:rRNA from 1 species